ensembl:lncRNA
CUCAGUGCUGCCUUGCAAAUUAUCACUGCCACUUUGCCAGACCUCCUGGUAGUUCUCCAGAUAUGCCUAUUUGUCCAAGAGCUACCCCAGCAACCUUCAGGCACAGGACCUCUGUCUGCUGGAAAUGAAUUUACUUUUAGAUGCAGUACAUCAGUUUCCUGAGCUGUGUUGCAAAACAUCGUCAUUUUUAUUACAUUUUACAAGAUCCCACAGAGUCUUUGGCAGAAGAAUGAAGGAAGGCAAGCUGAGUUUCUUUUGAACAGCUGUGAGGCAAAGAAAAGAAAGCUUCUCCUUAUGUUGCUUCCUGCAUUUUCCCAUGCCCAGCUGAGCCGAUUGAACAAGUCAAAUAAGAGAAGUGAGUCAGAACAGCGUGGAGGUACUGCACAAUCACACCACGGCUCUUGUG